rnacentral:rRNA from 1 species
UACGUAGGGUGCAAGCGUUGUCCGGAAUUAUUGGGCGUAAAGGGCUCGUAGGCGGUCUGUCACGUCGGGAGUGGAAACUCAGGGCUUAACCCUGAGCCUGCUUCCGAUACGGGCAGACUAGAGGUAUGCAGGGGAGAACGGAAUUCCUGGUGUAGCGGUGAAAUGCGCAGAUAUUAGGAGGAACACCGGUGGCGAAGGCGGUUCUCUGGGCAUUACCUGACGCUGAGGAGCGAAAGUGUGGGGAGCGAACAGG